rnacentral:tRNA from 1 species
AGCGGUUAAGACACCGCCCUUUCACGGCGGUAACACGGGUUCGAAUCCCGUACGGG